GAUCAACAGAAAUGCAGGACAGAUGCCAGGGAAGUCCAGAAGAAUGACACGUCUGCAUUACUUGUGACAUGACUUCCUGACUUCAAGGCAUCUGAUCAGAAUCUCCACUUGGAGUUCCAUUCUGAAUAGGAAUGUGUGCCGAAUACCUGAUUCCAGACCACGAGACUGAUGCGCUUGGUGAAAGUCCAG